rnacentral:rRNA from 1 species
UACGAAGGGGGCUAGCGUUGCUCGGAAUCACCGGGCGUAAAGGGUGCGUAGGCGGGUCUUUUAAGUCAGGGGUGAAAUCCUGGAGCUCAACUCCAGAACUGCCUUUGAUACUGAGGAUCUUGAGUUCGGGAGAGGUGAGUGGAACUGCGAGUGUAGAGGUGAAAUUCGUAGAUAUUCGCAAGAACACCAGUGGCGAAGGCGGCUCACUGGCCCGAUACUGACGCUGAGGCACGAAAGCGUGGGGAGCAAACAGG